rnacentral:rRNA from 1 species
UACGUAGGGUGCAAGCGUUGUCCGGAAUUAUUGGGCGUAAAGAGCUCGUAGGCGGUUUGUCGCGUCGACUGUGAAAACCCGAGGCUUAACCUCGGGCCUGCAGUCGAUACGGGCAGACUAGAGUUCGGUAGGGGAGACUGGAAUUCCUGGUGUAGCGGUGAAAUGCGCAGAUAUCGGGAGGAACACCAGUGGCGAAGGCGGCGAUCUGGGAAGAUACUGACGCUGAGGUGCGAAAGCGUGGGGAGCAAACAGG